AAAGGCAGGACAACUGCCCGUCCAGCAUGUUAUGGGGGGGGGAUGCUUGGGGGACGUUGGGUCGGACUAGGUGGCCUCACACCCCUCCAGAAAGCUCGGCCUUGGCCAGAUGGCUUCUCAGACAACACACAGAGCCCGUUGGAGGCCUCGAGUGGAGGACCCCCACCAAAGAGACCACAAGCCCACCAGAACUGCCCAUUGUCCAAGAGCGUGACCAGAGCCCUUUCCCCUCCUCAACGUAACCUCCGGCACAAGCGUUACCAUGCUGGCCUCCUGCUCAAACCCACAGCGGGUCCCGGUGUCUCUAGGAGAACGUACAGACCCCUCAACUUGGCAUCGAAAACUCCAGUGAGCUGGCUUGAACUCACCUCCUCAGGCUUUUGGUGAACCUCUCGAACUUGGGGCCCUUCACCACUGUGGGGAGGAGGUGUGAGCCACACCCUGCUGAUGUCCAGGUUGAAGCUUCUCAGGGAGGAAAAGCCCCUCCUGAUGGAUUUUAGGCCGAUGUCACUAGACCAUCUCCAGAUGAAACUAUGAACCUACACUAUAGGAUCAACAUCCUAAAGGCUGUGCAUUAGCACUUGAAGGCUUAGAAGCUAGUGCCAAUCUGUUCCUGACAUUAGGAGAAAGAUGUCUCUAAGCCAUCUCCUCCCCUCCAGGUCUUUGACUUGCCUCUUCGUCACGUUCUCCAGCACCCAAA